CCUACGGUAGGCAGCAGUGAGGAAUAUUGGUCAAUGGGCGGAAGCCUGAACCAGCCAAGUAGCGUGCGGGAUGAAGGCCCUACGGGUCGUAAACCGCUUUUGCACGGGGAUAACACCCUCCACUUGUGGAGGUCUGCAGGUACCGUGCGAAUAAGGGCCGGCUCAUUCCGUGCCAGCAGCCGCGGUAAUACGGAAGGCCCGAGCGUUAUCCGUAUUCAUUGGGCUUAAAGGGAGCGUAGGCGGGCGUUCAAGUCAGCUGUAAAAUCGCGCGGCUCAACCGCGCCCCGCAGUUGAAACUGGACGCCUUGAGUUCACAACAGGCAGGCGGAAUUCGUGGUGUAGCGGUGAAAUGCAUAGAUAUCACGAGGAACCCCGAUUGCGAAGGCAGCCUGCCGGGGUGCGACUGACGCUGAGGCUCGAAGGUGCGGGUAUCAAACAGGAUUAGAUACCCGUGUAGUC
rnacentral:rRNA from 1 species